UAGCGUUCUGAACCGAUAAGUUCCAUUUGUCGAUUUGAACACUCCUCCAUAAGAUAUUCCUCUUGAAGUUGAAUCAUAUAUGAUGAUUAAAACGACUCUUGGUAGUUUUUUGUGUACUACCUGCUUCCUUUUUUAUUCCAUAAGUGAAGUUGAAGUUGUGGUAUCUCUACUUCCGAAUUGUGAGGAAUAAAAAGUCUUCCGUUUAUUUUUUUGAGUUUUUAAACCUCCUCCAGUGGGGUGAUUUUAUGUUCAUCAGAGUCGCUUGUCCAGGAGUAACAGGUACUAGAUAGGUAAAAGUUCUAUGCCCAACAGCUUUCUGUGCUCUUGGAAUUUUGAAAUAAUCCGAAAUCGAUGCCCUUGUUCGGUGAAUCUUCCUAACACCGCCCCACUCAACUAUUCCGUAACUCAACAGAGAUUCGACCAGAGCAGAAUAUAUGGUCUUUAGCUAAUUGGUAGAUUUCAAUAUAAAUAUUCCAUUCCAAGGAGGAAUCUAAAAAGAUCCCUAGAUACUCUACAGAUGUUGUGAGUUCUACAUCGUAGUUGUCCAAACUUAUUGUUCUGCAUCUGGGUAAAUAUGAUUCGUAUGAUGUGAAUUGUAAUAUAUUUGUUUUAUCCACAU